rnacentral:rRNA from 1 species
CCUACGGGUGGCAGCAGUGGGGAAUAUUGCACAAUGGGGGAAACCCUGAUGCAGCGACGCCGCGUGAGUGAAGAAGUAAUUCGUUACGUAAAGCUCUAUCAGCAGGGAAGAAAAGGACGGUACCUGAGUAAGAAGCCCCGGCUAACUACGUGCCAGCAGCCGCGGUAAGACGGAGGGGGCAAGCGUUAGUCGGAUUUACGGGGUGGAAAGGGAGCGGAGACGGUGCGCCAAGUCUGGAGUGAAAUGCCGCAGCUUACCUGCGGACCUGCUUUGGAAACGGGCGAACUAGAGUGCGGGGGGGUUGAGCGGACUUCCUAGUGUAGCGGUGAAAUGCGGUGAUAUUAGGAGGAACACCGGUGGCGUCGGCGGCUUACUGGACCGUACCUGACGUUGAGGCUCGCAUGCGUGGGGAGCAAACAGGAUUAGAUACCCUGGUAGUC